rnacentral:lncRNA from 1 species
AAGACCUUUCACAACAGUGCAUCAUUCCCUGUAUCGAGAGUCAUAAGCUACCUACCAUAACUCAUCUGACAAAUGCAACUUUCUGUCACGCCUCCUCUUCAUUGAUGCCUGGGUAGAGUCGGUGCCUCGUCCAGUUGCAUUUGGCGAGCUGGCAACAACUCCUCCUUAGAUCGUGUCGUAUAGCUGCUAGAGGAGAACUCAAUGCUCUUGGGG